ACAGGUGCUGCAUGGCUGUCGUCAGCUCGUGCCGUGAGGUGUUGGGUUAAGUCCCGCAACGAGCGCAACCCUUAUCAUUAGUUGCCAACAGGUGAAGCUGGGAACUCUAAUGAGACUGCCUGGGUUAACCAGGAGGAAGGUGAGGAUGACGUCAAGUCCGCAUGGCCCUUAUGUCUGGGGCUACACACGUGCUACAAUGGUCGGUACAGAAGGCAGCGAAACCGCGAGGUGAAGCAAAUCCAACAAAGCCGAUCUCAGUUCAGAUUGUAGUCUGCAACUCGACUACAUGAAGACGGAAUUGCUAGUAAUGGCGAGUCAGCAACAUCGCCGUGAAUACGUUCCCGGGUCUU
rnacentral:rRNA from 1 species